GACGAACGCUGGCGGCGUGCUUAACACAUGCAAGUCGAACGAACAGGCCCUGCUUUUGCGGGGUGCUCGAUUGGCGAACGGGUGAGUAACACGUGUGUAACCUGUCCUUGACUUUCGGAUAACUUCUGGGAACUGGGGCUAAUACCGGAUAGGAGCUCCUGCUGCAUGGUGGGCGUUGGAAAGUUUCGGCGUUUGGGGAUGUACUCGCUGCUUAUCAGCUUGUUGGUGGGGUAGUUGCUUACCAAGGGUAUGACGGGUAGCCGGCAUGAGAGGGUGACCGGCCACAAUGCGACUGAGAUACGGCGCAGACUCCUACGGGACGCAGCAGUGGGGAAUAUUGCACAAUGGGCGGAAGCCUGAUGCAGAAGCGUCGCGUGCGGGAUGACGGGCUUCGGGUUGUAAACCGCUUUCGCCUGUGACGAAGAGUGAGUGACGGUAAUGGGUAAAGAAGCACCGGCUAACUACGUG
rnacentral:rRNA from 1 species